UGUGAUGGUUAAGACACAAUAACCCUGCCUUAAUUAUGUGACAAGUAUCACUUAUGGGGGUAAUUUAGGUCCAAAGUAAUCAUUUGUCAGGCAAUUAGUUGGUAUUAGUUACAUAAUUGGUUUCUUUUUCCCAUAUCAUGAACUGCAUCCAUUAUUUAAUAUUAUUGUUACACUUAUGAGUUGCAUUUGAACCGAAAACUGUGAAGAAAAGGUGUUUGUACAGCACCGAAAACUGAAGAAAAUGUGUCUGCAGAGCAGGUGUUCAGUGAUGGUCUUCCCAAUGACCACUGUUUACAGACACAAUAAUGGCUAGACCGUUUGAGCCGGUGAAGAACGUUAAUGAUAUGAAGGAGCUUUGGAAAGUAGUUGUUCGUAUCCAUCACAAAUGGACGAUUGUUAACAAGAACAAAGAACAUUUUGAGUCGGUUGUCGUUGAUAAAGAUGGUUGUGACAUCCAUGUCAAAGUUCCACAUCCUUUUAAACAAGCUUAUGAUUCACUUUGGUAUAUUUUUGUAUUGAUUUGCAUUUAUUACUAAAAAACUCAUGGAUUGUUCAGGUUCUUACCGAUCUCUUUCUAUUCAAGGGAAACUUGUGAGUUAUCUUAACCAUAAAAUUUUUAAUCUGGUAUAUUUUUGUAUUGAAGAGGAAGAUGUUUUGUUAUCUUAACCAUAAAUUUUUUAGUUAUCAUAAACUGAUCACAACUUUAAUUUUUACAGAGAAAAAAGUGAAGGAGAAAGUCUAAGUAGACUUUACUAUGGAAUUAGAAGCUACGUUGGGCAAGUAUGUCUCAUAUGUUUCCAGUUUUUGAACGAGAAGAAUUGAUUGAAGCUUUUAAGAACACUUCUAGUUUUCGAUAUUUUUGUUAUUGCCUAGGUAUGUUAUCUACUUUAAUUUUAUAUGUGAUUUAGUUUGAGGGAGGGAAACUAUGCUCUUUUGGUUUUAUACAUAGUUUUGAAUGUUUGAUAGUUGUUGUUAUAAGUGUGAUUGGUUAUGUGGAUGUUAGAAUAUCCUUUGUUUGGGUUAUGUGGAUGUCAGAAUAUCUGUUAGGUUGGACUCAAUUCGUUGAGGUCAGAAUCAAUGUCUGAUUGAAGCUCGCGUGUCAGGGUGUUUUAUUGUUGAAAUGCAUGUAUAAUAGCUUACACAUGAUGUAUUUGAAUCCUUUUAUUAGGUCUCUGGUUUCUGGUUUCUUUUUGCAGUCACAGGUGCUUCCUCUCUGUUGUUCUAUUGUCGUUUCAGUGUUGUUGUCGGCGAUUUUCUUUUUAUUAUGUUUCCUUCUGGUAGCGCAACCUAUAUGCUUUGUGCCUCGAACCUGUUAUAACUUGGUUUGCCUUUGCUUUUUGUAACAUAAUUUUAGUUUUAACGUGUUUCUUGGAUUCUUUACUCACAUUUUGAUUAGUGUUUAUAUAGGCAAAUCUGGUUUCACAUCAGAUGUGUUCUAUUGACUUAUAAUAUACAGACAAUUCAAAAUUAAAGAGGGAUCUUCAGUAGAAAUUGCACAAGUAAAAUCCUUUAUGCAAUAUUUGGGUUAAAUGUCUCAAAUACUUUUUCAUUAAUCACUUAUUUAGAUGGUAAUAACUCAUUUAUGGUAGGUUAGUUUUGCAUUAUGAUUGUGCAGGUUAACAUGUGCAAGGUUAUGAAGGAUAUGAAGCCGGGACAUGGUUAAAUGGGGAAUGGUCAAGGAUGUAGGAAGAAGUAUGAAUGACCCUGCCAAUUGUGGGUGUAAUUCAUUUGGCUUGACUCACAAUAGAUGUAAAUUUUUCUGGUAAUAACUGGCAUUACGUUUGUUUCCCUCCAGAUAUGUUGGUGUCUACAAAAGGAAAUUCGCCGAGCAGGUACGAUAGUUGUGCGGUAAAAAGGUGAUUGCAUUAUCGCGGUAAAACAAUCUCAUAGAUUCUGAUGUAGUUGAAAAAUAUAUUACUUUAACAUUACCUGUUAGUUUCUUUACUGUUGAUAGUUGAUUGUUCUUGAGUAUAUUUUCGACUUACGGUGUUUGAAGUCAAGUUUAUCAGGUGAGGAAGGAGCAGAAGAAUGUAAAGCGCUCGAUAAUAAAAAGUGUUGUAGGAACACUUGAUUUGAAUAUCCGGUAUUUCCUGCAAGGAGAGACUUUU